rnacentral:lncRNA from 1 species
AAGAAGAACGAGUCCAAGAAGUAGACGACCCAACAUAGUCGAACGAAUCCUCACAACUCCGAAACGAAACCGAAGCUAACGAAAGAAGCCACCCGGAAAGAAGCAAGCAACAUAGUAAACAACCAUCACAUAAACAUAGCAUGAUGCACAACCAAGUAUGAUGCAUGUCCGGUUUUAAAGAGGCAUGUCAUGGAAAAAUGCAACAAACAACACUACAAGUUAAGUGGAGCUCCAUAUGCAACGAGUCGCAUAUUGACGAAACACCACAUGACUUAUUUAGUUCUCUCUCGGUUAUGUACCCAGCAAUAUUAAAUGUUAUUAAAUAUGGCAAGGGGUGAAACAUGAGUAAAAUACACAGUUAGGCAUUUUAAAUGAGGCCGGAAACAUCAAACAACAAUUCCGGUAAAUCCUCAUGUGCAUUAGCAAUUCAAUGCAACAACAAUUUUAAACAUUUUAAAUGUUAUUAUCAUGAUGCAGAUAACAUGUGCAAGUUUUAUGCAAUUUGGAAAUGUUGACAAGAUCAUGAUAUGAAGCAUUUGUCGCCAUGACGGAAUGAAAGGGUGCCACGGCGACGAUAACCAAAAAAACGGUGCCACGACAACGUUUCGGUUCCGACAACUCAUUGAAUAUCGGUGCAAAAGAAGCAAGUGUGCGGAUGUGCGGAACAUGCUAGAGAUGGUGGGGUGAUCCCGGAUUCUGGGUGUCCCACGAGUUGACGGCAUGGCAAAACGAGGAGGAACGUGCAAGCUACAACUCGGACACGGUACGAUCACGGGCAUCUCAAACAUCAAACAUCAAACAUGCAUUCGUCCACGGGUUGUCUCGUGGGUUAUACCUUCGAAGCGUGCAUUUUCGGAACGGAUCAAGUCGGCGUAGAGGAAGUAGUGGUACUAUCGGUCCUCAGUGACGGUAGUGGUACUAGCGAUCUUGGCGACGGUAGUCGUUCAUGUUCUUAGUCGCAUAAGUUUUCGUAGAUGUUCA